rnacentral:rRNA from 1 species
AACGAACGCUGGCGGCAGGCUUAACACAUGCAAGUCGAGCGCCCCGCAAGGGGAGCGGCAGACGGGUGAGUAACGCGUGGGAAUCUACCCAUCUCUACGGAAUAACGCAUGGAAACGUGUGCUAAUACCGUAUACGUCCUUCGGGAGAAAGAUUUAUCGGAGAUGGAUGAGCACGCGUUGGACUUAGCUAGUUGGUGGGGUAAAGGCCUACCAAGGCGACGAUCCAUAGCUGGUCUGAGAGGAUGAUCAGCCAGACUGGGACUGGGACACGGCCCAGACUCCGACGGGAGGCAGCGGUGGGGAAUAUGGGACAAUGGGCGCAAGCCGAAUCCAGCCAUGCCGCGUGAGUGAUGAAGGCCCUAGGGUUGUAAAGCUCUUUCACCGGUGAAGAUAAUGACGGUAACCGGAGAAGAAGCCCCGGCUAACUUCGUGCCAGCCGCCGCGGUAAAAC